rnacentral:tRNA from 1 species
GACAGUGUGUUCCAAUGGAUAGGAUGCUGGCCUGGGACUCAGGAGACCUGGGUUCUAUUCCCAGCUUUGUCA